rfam:Agrilus planipennis Contig16309, whole genome shotgun sequence.
UCUCAUUUAUUUCAUUGGGAUACAAAACGGAGGUUGAAGAACGGCUAAAGAGGACCUUAAUUGGUCCUAGAACGGCCUGAGGUAGAGGGGUUUUAGUCGGUAGGUCCGAGGACUUCUUCCACGGGAAUCCGACACUACCCAGUCGUACGGACGGCUGGGAGUCUUUUGAAGAUUUCCCCUCUUCCACGAAA